GCCUUCGUAGUAUAGUGGUAGCACACUCGACACGUAAUCGAGAGAUGCAAGUUCAAGUCCCGACGAGGGCA
rnacentral:tRNA from 1 species